UUUAUGGAGAGUUUGAUCCUGGCUCAGGAUGAACGCUGGCGGCGUGCCUAAUACAUGCAAGUCGAGCGAACUGACGAGGAGCUUGCUCCUUUGACGUUAGCGGCGGACGGGUGAGUAACACGUGGGUAACCUACCUAUAAGACUGGAAUAACUCCGGGAAACCGGGGCUAAUGCCGGAUAACAUAUCGAACCGCAUGGUUCGAUAGUGAAAGACGGUCUUGCUGUCACUUAUAGAUGGACCCGCGCCGUAUUAGCUAGUUGGUGAGGUAACGGCUCACCAAGGCAACGAUACGUAGCCGACCUGAGAGGGUGAUCGGCCACACUGGAACUGAGACACGGUCCAGACUCCUACGGGAGGCAGCAGUAGGGAAUCUUCCGCAAUGGGCGAAAGCCUGACGGAGCAACGCCGCGUGAGUGAUGAAGGUCUUCGGAUCGUAAAGCUCUGUUGUUAGGGAAGAACAAAUGUGUAAGUAACUGUGCACAUCUUGACGGUACCUAACCAGAAAGCCACGGCUAACUACGUGCCAGCAGCCGCGGUAAUACGUAGGUGGCAAGCGUUAUCCGGAAUUAUUGGGCGUAAAGCGCGCGUAGGCGGUUUUUUAAGUCUGAUGUGAAAGCCCACGGCUCAACCGUGGAGGGUCAUUGGAAACUGGAAAACUUGAGUGCAGAAGAGGAAAGUGGAAUUCCAUGUGUAGCGGUGAAAUGCGCAGAGAUAUGGAGGAACACCAGUGGCGAAGGCGGCUUUCUGGUCUGUAACUGACGCUGAUGUGCGAAAGCGUGGGGAUCAAACAGGAUUAGAUACCCUGGUAGUCCACGCCGUAAACGAUGAGUGCUAAGUGUUAGGGGGUUUCCGCCCCUUAGUGCUGCAGCUAACGCAUUAAGCACUCCGCCUGGGGAGUACGGUCGCAAGACUGAAACUCAAAGGAAU
rnacentral:rRNA from 1 species